CGGACUCCUACGGGAGCCGGGCUCCAUUCUCAACUUCAACUGCUGGGAGCCGGACUUCAUCCCUGACCUUUAUUACAGGUGGAUCUCGUCCGAGCUCCUACGGGAGCCGGACUCCACCCCCGGCUGUGACUGAAGGAAGACUCCGUCCGAACUCCUGCGAAGGUCAGAUUCCGAGCUCCUCUCAGACAUAUUGCUAACUACCUCUCUCCGCCAGGCGCCCCA
rnacentral:lncRNA from 1 species